rnacentral:rRNA from 1 species
GGAUCCGGCCUAAGAGGGUGAACGGACACACUGGAACUGAGACACGGUCCAGACUCCUCACGGGAGGCAGCAGUAGGGAAUAUUGCUCAAUGGGGGAAACCCUGAAGCAGCAACGCCGCGUGGAGGAUGAAGGUUUUAGGAUUGUAAACUCCUUUUGUUAGAGAAGAUAAUGACGGUAUCUAACGAAUAAGCACCGGCUAACUCCGUGCCAGCAGCCGCGGUAAUACGGAGGGUGCAAGCGUUACUCGGAAUCACUGGGCGUAAAGAGCGCGUAGGCGGGAUAGUCAGUCAGGUGUGAAAUCCUAUGGCUUAACCAUAGAACUGCAUUUGAAACUACUAUUCUAGAGUGUGGGAGAGGUAGGUGGAAUUCUUUGGUGUAGGGGU